AACACAUGUAGGGUGCGUCCUUAGCACUGUUCCUGGGCUGUCCCAGCUGUUCAGUACUUGCUCACUGCUAUUAUUGUUUCAUGCUUUAGCAGUUUAAAUGCACAUUCUUCUCCCUUUCUAUCAACUCUGAAAGCAGGAUGCAUCUAUCAGUCACACUGAGAUGGAGGCACUCAUGAUUUGGUUUUCACCACCUUCACUUCAAAUUUGGCAGAAUGAUGUCAGAAGCCUGGAGGAACACCCGAGAGAUGGCGCCGGCGACCACUGCUGCAUGAUUCCUGUGACCGUCCCUGAGCUCUUGAAGGCCCAGAUGUUGACCUUGCUGGGAAAACUGCGGAUGCAGACGAUGCUGUUUCAUUCUUCGAGGCACCUCUUACGGUCACUGGCAUCUUGAAUGGUGCUGUGUAUACUCACCUGCCAAUCCCUGUGGUCUGUGCAGCCAGCUGGCUGUAGCCAGUGUUGCGGGGUGAGAGUCAGAGGUGGGGGGGAAAGGAAAUAGAGGCUGAGGUCCCUGUGUGGAACUGGCCAGGGAUUGUUCCUGUGGACUGGGGCUGCCAAACUGACCUGCUUUGUCUUUCCAUGGGUGACUCAAUCCCGGCACACCAUCAGCUCUCAGGCAAGCACAUUGUGCUGCUGUCAGGAAGCGACCCAACAGAACACCGUUUGAUUUUGGAAUCGUUUUCCCAAACAGCUGUCCUCUGCUCUCCUAGAACACAUGCCGUCCUCACGUCUCUAAAGACUCACUUCCUCGCCUGGAGCCUGCUCACUCAGGGAAAGCAUACCGGUUUUUUUCUGUGUCAUGGAAGGAAGAUUGCUUCUUCCCCUUCCCUCUCACUUGCCAUGUGACCUAGGGGAAACGACUUUCCCUUUCUGGGUCCUGUUUCCUUGUCAGAAAAAAUAUAUUGUGCUGGAUGGUCUCUCAGGUACCCCUUAAUUCUUAAUCUGUGAGUCUAUGUAUCUUUAAAAAAAAAAAAAAAACCUAAAUAAAAAAUUGACAACACCACUUCA
rnacentral:lncRNA from 1 species